AAAUAGUUGAUAAUGCGGAUUACAAGUAUAUAAGUAUGAAAUGUUAUAAUGGAAAUGAAGUUCAAGGAUAAAGGUAUGAAAAGUGUUUCAUUUGAACUUUGUGAAUACCUAGGAUACAAAUGACAUGUCAUUAGGGGUUAUACGGUUUCGGGUUUUGGUCUUGGAUGUCCUACUGAUGACGAGGUCUUGCAUUUGUUGCAGAUUCUCCACAGUCGUGUGAGCAGCAUUGUGUAGCUUAACAUCCCGACCCAUAGCUCGUGUGAGCAGACCUAUUUCAUAGCUCAUGUGAGCAUUACAGAUACGGUUACAGUUACAUAUACAGGCACACUUUGUGUAAGCAUGGUUCUCGUGUAUCCGACAUUGUUUCAUUUGGUUCAACAGGUAAUAAAGGUCUAAACAAGUAAAUUCAAUUUUAUGAAAUGUUAUGUGAACAUGAUAAGUGAAAUGGAAAGUGUUACCAUUUUUGCUUGUUUGGAAUGAACAAAUGGUACAUGUUGGAAAGGUGAUAAUGUAAUGUAAAUUACUAUGAUUCUAGUUUAUGUGCAUGAUAUAUAUAAAUCACAUGUUUCAUGUACGAAUUCACGAACUUACAAGUUUGGUGAUGUAAAUAGGAAUUGGAUAAAUUUAUGAGCAUGGUAAUGUAACACCCCUUACCCGUAUUCAACUCCGGAAUAGGGUAUGAGGCAUUACUAGAACACUUACACAUGUAAACGUAUUAAACUGAGUUACAAAAUUUCAUUCAAAUUUAAACUCUUCAAAUUUUUAACAUGCUUUUAUAAUUCUUUAUAACAUAUCCUCAAAAUAUUAUAUUCAUAACAAAUAGGGCCUACGAGACCCGAUACUUACUUAUGUAAUUCAAAGCUCCAUUUCCGUUUUAUUCAAUUCACAAUAUUUCGUGUUCACAAUUCAAAUUAAUUUCUCAAUCCAAUAUAUAUAUUUCAAUACCACACUCUCAUACUAUGAAACUUUAUUUUCCCAUAUGAGCUUAAACCAUGAUCAUCACAUAUCAAAGACAAAUGUUCUUGACAUUUCCAUCACAUAAACCGAAUUAAUCAAUGCAACUCAAUGAUAUAAUCAUCCAUAUAUCAUUAUUAUCAUAUAUAUAUAUCAAGACUAAAUUUCUUAUACAUUUGGUCAAUUGCUUUUCAAAACCGCAAUAGUUCCUUCGGUACCAAUACGUAUUUACCAUUCAAUUUAACAUUUACCGAUUAUAAUCGGGCAUAUGACCAUUAUACACAAUUAUUUCCUACAUUUUAUUGUCCUCCUCCUCCUCUCCAUUCCACAUCCUUUAUGUGUAUAUCACAUUUAAACAACAUUAACUAUAAUUUCUCUAUUCACUAACAUGUAUAUUCAAAGCUGUCUAUUCAAGACAUAGUCACUAAAUUAUUUUUACCCGGAGCUACAGAACUCCAAAUUAAGAUCCAUAAAUUUUAUCCGAAACUAGAUUCACAUAUAUUCUUACCAUAAAAUUUUCAUAAUUUUUGGUUUAGCCAAAUAGUAUAGUUUAUUCUUUAAAGUUUCCCCUAUUUCACUGUUUGACAGUUCUGACCUCUCUUCACUAAAAAUUAAUUAUCUCACUGUACAGAAUUCGGAUAUAGUUUCCGUUUGUUUCUCAUAAAAAUAGAUUCACUGAUAAUUCUAAACAUAUAAACUUUAUCCCAUAAUUAUUUUUUUACAAUUUUUUACAAUUUUCCAAAGUCAAAACAGGGGAUUCCAAACUCAUUCUAACUCUGUCUAAUUAAACUUCAAAUAUCUCAAAAUAUAUAACUAUUUUGCUUUUUCUAUUUCUUUUAUGUGAAAAUAGACUCAUUAAGCUUCAAUUUCAUAUAUUAUUCAGCCUCUAAUUAAAUUUCCACCAUUUUUGGUGAUUUUUCAACCUCACACAACUGUUGCUGUCUAACCCCCCUCUGUUGCUAAAUGUACUCUUUCAUAAUUUCACUUUUUCACUUUCAAUCACAAUUCAAUUCAAAAUUCACUUUUCCAUUUCUAAGUCGAUAUUCAAUUCAGUUCCACACCUAUAUUCAUUAUUCAAUUACACUUAGUCAAUUUCCCGUUGAACACUCAGAAUAUACAUAGAUACGUAGAGAAUUAGCACAUAAGUGCCACACUGAUAUGUAGCCGAAGCCACCACUGAUACGUAGCCGAAGCUACCACUGAUACGUAGCCGAAGCUACCACUGAUAUGUAGCCGAAGCUACCACUGAUNNNNNNNNNNNNNNNNNNNNNNNNNNNNNNNNNNNNNNNNNNNNNNNNNNNNNNNNNNNNNNNNNNNNNNNNNNNNNNNNNNNNNNNNNNNNNNNNNNNNAUUUAGUACUCACAUUUAUCAAACAGUCCUUGACUCAAACUUUGGUAAAAUUAUAAUUUUGCCCCUAAACUUUUACAUAUUUACACUUUUGCCCCAAAGCUCGUAAAUUAAACUUCAUCCCUUAUUCUUAUGUAUUAUGACAUGUUGAACAUUUUUCCCUUCUAUAGAAACAUCAAAUUCCAACUCUAACACUUACUUAUGAACAUUUAGUAUUUUUAUCGAUUAUGUCGUUUUACUCGUUUUCACUCAAAAUCGCUUAGCAAAAGUUGCUUAACAUAAUUCUAAGCUUCAUAUUCUAUCAUGAAACAUCAAAAUUCACACUUUUCAUCUAUGGGUAAUUUUUCAGACAUAAAUUCUAGCUCGAAUUAAUGGUAGAGAUAGCUUAAGCAAGUUAUCGGGAUGCGAAAAAUACAAAGAACAAGAAAAACGGGGCUAGAACGGACUUACCAUGAAGCUUGGAAGAUGAACAAACCCUAGCCAUGGUGUUCCCUUGCUAC
rnacentral:lncRNA from 1 species